CAGCAGCCGCGGGAAUACGUAGGUCCCGAGCGUUGUCCGGAUUUAUUGGGCGUAAAGCGUGCGCAGGCGGUUAUGUAAGACAGGUGUGAAAUCCCCGGGCUUAACCUGGGAACUGCGCUUGUGACUGCACAGCUAGAGUAUGGUAGAGGGGGGUGGAAUUCCACGUGUAGCAGUGAAAUGCGUAGAGAUGUGGAGGAACACCGAUGGCGAAGGCAGCCCCCUGGGCCAGUACUGACGCUCAUGCACGAAAGCGUGGGGAGCAAACAGGAUUAGAUACCCGGGUAGUCCCUGUCUCUUAUAA
rnacentral:rRNA from 1 species